UACGUGUGGGGCAAGCGUUGUUCGGAAUUACUGGGCAUAAAGGGUGCGUAGGUGGUCGAGCAAGUCAGUGGUGAAAGGCGGUGGCCCAACCAUCGGAGUGCCAUUGAUACUGCUCGACUUGAGUGCGCAAGGGGUGGAUGGAACGAGCGGUGUAGCGGUGAAAUGCGUAGAUAUCGCUCGGAAGGCCGGAGGCGAAGGCGGUCCACUGGUGCGCAACUGACGCUGAGGCACGAAAGCGUGGGGAGCAAACAGG
rnacentral:rRNA from 1 species